UUGGAGGGCAAGUCUGGUGCCAGCAGCCGCGGUAAUUCCAGCUCCAAUAGCGUAUAUUAAAGUUGUUGCAGUUAAAAAGCUCGUAGUUGAAUUUCGGGGUUCUACCGUUGGUCAGGCUAUUGUCUGUACUGGCGUGUAGAAUUUCUACCUUCUGGGGAACUAUCAUGUUAUUAAUUUAGCGUGGUAGGAAACCAGGACCUUUACCUUGAAAAAAUUAGAGUGUUCAAAGCAGGCUUAUGUCUGAAUACAUUAGCAUGGAAUAAUAAAAUAGGACGGUGGUCCUGUUUUGUUGGUUUCUGAAUCACCGUAAUGAUUAAUAGGGAUAGUUGGGGGCAUUAGUAUUCAAUUGUCAGAGGUGAAAUUCUUGGAUUUAUUGAAGACUAACUACUGCGAAAGCAUUUGCCAAGGAUGUUUUCAUUAAUCAAGAACGAAAGUUAGGGGAUCGAAGACGAUCAGAUACCGUCGUAGUCUUAACCAUAAACUAUGCCGACUAGGGAUCGGACGAUGUUAACUUUUCUUGACUCGUUCGGCGCCUUACGGGAAAC
rnacentral:rRNA from 1 species